rnacentral:rRNA from 1 species
CUGAGUACGGCGGAACACGUGAAAUUCCGUCGGAAUCCGGGAGGACCAUCUCCCAAGGCUAAAUACUCCCUAGUGACCGAUAGUGAACCAGUACCGUGAGGGAAAGGUGAAAAGCACCCCGGAAGGGGAGUGAAACAGUUCCUGAAACCGUGUGCCUACAAGUAGUUAGAGCCCGUUAAUGGGUGAUAGCGUGCCUUUUGUAGAAUGAACCGGCGAGUUACGAUUUGUUGCAAGGUUAAGCGGAAAAAGCGGAGCCGUAGCGAAAGCGAGUCUGAAUAGGGCGCAUAAGUAACAGGUCGUAGACCCGAAACCAGGUGAUCUACCCAUGUCCAGGAUGAAGGUAAGGUAAUACUUACUGGAGGUCCGAACCCACGCACGUUGAAAAGUGCGGGGAUGAGGUGUGGGUAGCGGAGAAAUUCCAAUCGAACUUGGAGAUAGCUGGUUCUCUCCGAAAUAGCUUUAGGGCUAGCCUCGAGGUAAAGAGUCAUGGAGGUAGAGCACUGUUUGGACUAGGGGCCCUUCUCGGGUUACCGAAUUCAGAUAAACUCCGAAUGCCAUGUACUUAUACUCGGGAGUCAGACUGCGAGUGAUAAGAUCCGUAGUCGAAAGGGAAACAGCCCAGACCACCAGUUAAGGUCCCCAAAUAUAUGUUAAGUGGAAAAGGAUGUGGGGUUGCUUAGACAACCAGGAUGUUGGCUUAGAAGCAGCCACCAUUGAAAGAGUGCGUAAUAGCUCACUGGUCGAGUGACCCCGCGCCGAAAAUGUACCGGGGCUAAACAUAUUACCGAAACUGUGGAUGAACCUCUUUAGAGGUUCGUGGUAGGAGAGCGUUCUAAGGGCGGUGAAGUCAGACCGGAAGGACUGGUGGAGCGCUUAGAAGUGAGAAUGCCGGUAUGAGUAGCGAAAGAAGGGUGAGAAUCCCUUCCACCGAAUAUCUAAGGUUUCCUGAGGAAGGCUCGUCCGCUCAGGGUUAGUCGGGACCUAAGCCGAGGCCGAUAGGCGUAGGCGAUGGACAACAGGUAGAGAUUCCUGUACCAGUGCUAAUUGUUUAACCGAUGGGGUGACACAGAAGGAUAGGGAAUCGCACGAAUGGAAAUGUGCGUCCAAGCAGUGAGUGUGAGAAGUAGGCAAAUCCGCUUCUCGCGAAGCAUGAGCUGUGAUGGGGAAGGAAAUUAAGUACGGAAGUUCCUGAUUUCACGCUGUCAAGAAAAGCCUCUAGGAAGAGUAGUACUGCCCGUACCGCAAACCGACACAGGUAGAUGAGGAGAGAAUCCUAAGGUGAGCGAGAGAACUCUCGUUAAGGAACUCGGCAAAAUGACCCCGUAACUUCGGGAGAAGGGGUGCUCUAUUAGGGUGCAAGCCCGAGAGAGCCGCAGUGAAUAGGCCCAGGCGACUGUUUAGCAAAAACACAGGUCUCUGCAAAACCGUAAGGUGACGUAUAGGGGCUGACGCCUGCCCGGUGCUGGAAGGUUAAGAGGAGUGCUUAGCUUCGGCGAAGGUACGAAUUGAAGCCCCAGUAAACGGCGGCCGUAACUAUAACGGUCCUAAGGUAGCGAAAUUCCUUGUCGGGUAAGUUCCGACCCGCACGAAAGGCGCAACGAUCUGGGCACUGUCUCAACGAGAGACUCGGUGAAAUUAUAGUACCUGUGAAGAUGCAGGUUACCCGCGACAGGACGGAAAGACCCCGUGGAGCUUUACUGCAACCUGAUAUGGAAUGUUUGUACCGCUUGUACAGGAUAGGUAGGAGCCGAAGAGACGUGUGCGCUAGCAUACGAGGAGGCAAUGGUGGGAUACUACCCUGGCUGUAUGACCAUUCUAACCCGCCACGCUUAGCGCGUGGGGAGACAGUGUCAGGU